rnacentral:rRNA from 1 species
AACAUGCUUUCAAGUCGCCUGAGGAUGGGGCCGCGUCCGAUCAGGUUGUUGGUGAGGUAACGGCUCACCAAGCCUAUAACCGGUACGGGCCGUGAGAGCGGUAGCCCGGAGAUGGGUACUGAGACAAGGACCCAUGCCCUACGGGGCGCAGCAGUCGCGAAAACUCCGCAAUGCACGAAAGUGUGACGGGGCUACCCCGAGUGCUCUCCGCUGAGGAAAGCUUUUCUCUGGUGUAACAAGCCAGGGGAAUAAGGAGAGGGCAAGACUGGUGUCAGCCGCCGCGGUAAUACCAGCUCUCCGAGUGGUAGGGAUGUUUAUUGGGCUUAAAGCGUCCGUAGCCGGCUUAGCAAGUCUCCNUGUUAAUUCAGCGACCUAAUCGUUGAGCCGCGGGAGAUACUACUAGGCUAGGAGGCGGGAGAGGUCAACGGUACUUCCGGGGUAGGGGUGAAAUCCUAUAAUCCC